GACGAACGCUGGCGGCGUGCCUAACACAUGCAAGUCGAACGGAACUGUUUUGACAGAUUUCUUCGGAAUGAAUUUGAUUUCGUUUAGUGGCGGACGGGUGAGUAACGCGUGAGUAACCUGCCUUCAAGAGGGGAAUAACAUUCUGAAAAGAAUGCUAAUACCGCAUGACAUAUCGGAACCACAUGGUUUUGAUAUCAAAGAUUUUAUCGCUUGAAGAUGGACUCGCGUCCGAUUAGUUAGUUGGUGAGGUAACGGCUCACCAAGACCGCGAUCGGUAGCCGGACUGAGAGGUUGAACGGCCACAUUGGGACUGAGACACGGCCCAGACUCCUACGGGAGACAGCAGUGGGGGAUAUUGCGCAAUGGGGGCAACCCUGACGCAGCAACGCCGCGUGAAGGAUGAAGGUUUUCGGAUUGUAAACUUCUUUUAUUAAGGACGAAAAAUGACGGUACUUAAUGAAUAAGCUCCGGCUAACUACGUG
rnacentral:rRNA from 1 species